UCUUUCCAAUCAUAAAUCGUCAUUCGUUUCGUUUUCCCUCUCAUCCCUGAGGACUUCCGAAUCGGUGGGGGUGGGGGCUGCCGAGAGAACCCAGCGACUUUGCUCAUGGAAGACAGCAAAGUUCUCGCGAGCGCCGCGAGGAGGAGGAGGAGGAGGAGGAGGAGCGAAUUUGUCGCUUCUGAAGAAAUAAGAGUUGUCGCUUGUCGUGGCAUAGGAAGACGUCAUCGUGGAAGCUGAUGCAUUGCAGAGGAGGAGAGGAGAGGAGAUUCGAUCAUUUCCAUAGUGCUGGUCAGAUGUUUGACGAAAUACGUAUGUGGAGUAGGAACUGGGGUACAUUAAUCUGAAAUCGGUGUGUUGCUUUCGGCUUGUGCAAUUGAUUUCUUUGUAUAUAGAUAAACGAUGGUGAGAAAUACAACGGUGCAUUUUGCAUCUCCCAAUCUCCUAUAUUUUUUUUUUAUCAGCGUCCCUGUCUCCUAAAUGUGAAGGCUGCAAGAUAUAAUUUAAAGAUUAUUUCAUGUGUGCUCACAUUAGUCUUUCCCUUUGAACGCCGGUGAUGAAAUUGUUGGAUGUAGCGAGAAAGCAUAUGAUUAUUUGUCAAUUUGGUGACGCACGGCAAAUGUUGUUCUUCUCCUGUGACCAAGAACUUGCAGCAUAUAUAAGGAGGACUGAUGUUAAAACUUACGCUUACAACAUCUAUGUGUCAUUUGGCCAUUGCUAUCACUCUGCUGAAAUCAAACUUGGCAAGGCGUGCUUGGUAUGGAAACCUUGUGCUUGAAAAAGUGCUUCGGAGUAUGUGUGGAAGAAUUUAUCCACAUAAAAGCUGUAUUGUGGAGACUGAACAAUUACAUACGUUACCUGUUGGAAUGCAGGAGCAUCUCCAGUGGCAGAUUAAGAGUGGGUUCAUAUAUUUUCAGAAGGCCAAGGAAUCUGCAUCUUUGAAGGAAAUUCCUUCCCUGCAGCUUAUCAAUCAGACAUUAGGUUACACAAGAGAGUUGGAGCGGAUUGUUUAGGACCUGCGACAAUGCGCGGUGGUUUGCUCUGGUAUUUGCACACUUUGAAGAUUGGUUAUUUUAUGCUGAUGGCAUCUCAUCCCUCUUGCUCUUUUUGAGAAAUUUGAUACUUAUUCUUAGUAAUCGUUUCCAUUUCGUUGUUGAAUACAAUUUUGCAUUUGAUCAGUAGUAUAUUUUCCUUGGCUUACCUGCUUGGAAGAACCAGAAACCAAAAUUAGUCUAGUCACACGGAGAUGGACAACUUGGAGAAUGUAUAUGUCGUUCUUAAUCAAUCUAACCCUAUGAAUAGGCCUAGAUACAAUUAUGUUUAAUCUGUUAUAGUAGAAUGGAAUAUAUGCACACUUGGUGACAUCAAUUGUCUCUGUUGGUCAAAGAGUUGCAAAGCAUUGACAUAGGAAGGCCAACUAGGGUUGCUUGUGUCCAGUUCAAUUUUUAGUUCAGUAGGUUGAAGUAGCCACCACUGUGGGCUUGUGCUUGCUCCUGAUUGAUGGUAUUCCGAAGAGAUGGCAUAGCACAAUCAUAUAAGAAAUUUCUUUUCCUCUUACUUUUUCCCUAGACUCCGGAUUGAGCUCUGUGAACAUAUGAUUUUCGUUUCUACAUUUGCUGCAUAACACUCUCAAGACUGAGCAGAGUCAAUGAAUCUGUAAUUUGCAAUUUCAUAGAAUCUUGAGUGAUACACGAUGUAGCCUUUGCAUGGCAAAAUCAUUGCUAAAUGCUGUUGCCUCUCUCUGAUAAAUGAUGUUCCUCCUGCUGCGAAAGAAAAAUGAAAGUCAUCAUUAGUUUGCUUAAUUGAUACUUCUGAUGGAUAGGGAAAGAGCAAGAGGAAGAAUUUAUUGGGUGGGUAUGCAACAAUGGUCCGCCUCUUCUGAAUCAUGGCAUUAUGAUGAAUUAACCCCUUGCUGUUAGGAUGUGACCAUCAUUGAUGGAUCUCAUCAUAUCUUAUGAUGAUGUAAUACUGAACAUUUGAGGAAUUCCCAAUCACCCAAAUGUUUCCAAUUUCUUAAUACUUAUUGUCUUGUUUAUUCCUUCUUUUCUUUUCUUUUCUUUUUCAAAUUUUCGUUGGCUUUUCUUGUUUCUUCUCAGUAGGCCCUUCUGCUCCACAAUGCAAGUUUUGUUUCCAUCUUCAUAAGUUAGUCUUACUUGAUCUUCAAGAUGACGAUACUAAUAAAAGCUGACAAGUGCAAAGACUUUGCCACCUCACUUUUCAUUGGGUUCACAGGAUCUUUUGCAAAACCGCACUUUCAUUGGAUUUGCAUGCAUGGUGGACCAUGGCGAAUGCUUGAGACUUAUAUGGAAGAUGCAUGACAAAAGUUAGAGUUGGUUUAUGGUGAGAAAGAUUAAAUGUCAUUCAGUUGCUGAGUUGAAUGUGGAAGCCUCACAUCACCUGACUUCCUAAAGAACUCUUCAGUACUUAAUGAGCGUGCUGUUAUUAUAAGUGUGAAGAUGGAAGAUCAAGAUGCCUUUGAGUGAGAUUUUUUUCAACUGAAGCCUUAUUAUACAAAUGCAGGUGGCCGUAUUCCACCAUCUCCUCAAGAGUACCCAAUUUUAGGUCUCAACCUGUUGAGACUCCUUGUGCAGAAUGGAAUAGCUGAGUUCUAUACCAAGCAUGCUGUUGAGUUGGAGCAAUCUUUCAUGGAAGGGGCCUAUAAUCAUGUUUUGAGUGCUAGGCAGACGGUGCGUCAUGAGACUUAUGUUUAUUUUAUGGACCUUCUGGCUGAGACAGUCAGGAACAUCCCAAGUGGGAGAUUAAGGGUGGGUUUGUAUAUUUCCAGAAGGCGAAGGAAUCUGCACCUUUGAAGGAAAUUCCAUCCCUGCAGCUUAUCAAUCAGACUUUGAGUUACGCAAGAGAGUUAGAGCAAAUUGUUUGGGACCUUCUACCGUGCACGGUGGUAUGCACUAGUAUUUGCACACUUCAAAGAUUGGUUAUUUUGUGCUAAUGGCAUCUUACCUUUUGCCCAUUUUGAGAGACUUGAUAUUCUUUUUAAUGUCUGUAACUUUAAUUGAUCAUUAUGAUGGGAAUUUAUCUCA